rnacentral:miRNA from 1 species
AUCUAAUUAUAUCAUAAUAUUUUCAUAUCAAAUUUAAAAUCAUAUAUUAGUUAUAAAAAUAUCAAGAUGAUAUAAUAAAUUG